GAAAUGCGAUAAGUAAUGUGAAUUGCAGAAUUCAGUGAAUCAUCGAAUCUUUGAACGCACAUUGCGCCCGCCAGUAUUCUGGCGGGCAUGCCUGUUCGAGCGUCAUUUCAACCAUCAAGCCCCGGGCUUGUGUUGGGGACCUGCGGCUGCCGCAGGCCCUGAAAACCAGUGGCGGGCUCGCUGUCACACCGGGCGUAGUAGAUUCUCAUCUCGCUCAGGGCGUGCUGCGGGUUCCGGCCGUAAAACAGCCUUAUUUUACCCAAGGUUGACCUCGGAUCAGGUAGGAAGACCCGCUGAACUUAAGC
rnacentral:misc_RNA from 1 species